CCGUUCCUCCCCCCCCCCACUGGGCUUCCUAUUUACCGAAAGCGGAGCCCCUCGCCUCUCUCGGCUCUCACCAGCCGGCCCUGCUUUCCCGCGCGGGGGUUCCGCGCCCGCUCGCGGGCCGUAGGGAGCGGGAGAGGCGGAGGCGGCCCGUGGCCAAAGCACCCGCCAGGCGCCGAGGAAUAUGAAACUGGUGUCAAAAUGACAUCCAGAUUUGGGAAAACAUACAGUAGGAAAGGUGGAAAUGGCAGUUCAAAAUUUGAUGAAGUCUUUUCCAACAAACGGACCACCCUUAGCACAAAAUGGGGAGAGACCACAUUUAUGGCUAAAUUAGGGCAGAAGAGGCCCAAUUUCAAACCAGAUAUCCAAGAAAUUCCGAAGAAACCUAAAGUGGAAGAAGAAAGUACUGGAGAUCCUUUUGGAUUUGAUAGUGAUGAUGAGUCUCUACCAGUUUCUUCAAAGAAUUUAGCCCAGGGUAAGGGUUCCUCUUACUCAGAAUCUAGUGAAGCUGCUCAGCUGGAAGAGGUCACUUCAGUACUUGAAGCUAAUAGCAAAAUUAGUCAUGUGGUGGUUGAAGACACUGUUAUAUCUGAUAAAUGCUUCCCUUUGGAGGACACUUUGCUUGGGAAAGAAAAGAGCACAAACCGAAUUGUAGAAGAUGAUGCAAGCAUAAGUAGCUGUAAUAAAUUAAUAACUUCAGAUAAAGUGGAGAAUUUUCAUGAAGAACGUGAGAAGAAUAGUCACCAUAUUCACAAAAAUGCUGACGACAGUACUAAGAAACCCAAUGCAGAAACUACAGUGGCUUCUGAAAUCAAGGAAGCAAACGAUACUUGGAACUCCCAGUUUGGGAAAAGGCCAGAAUCACCAUCAGAAAUAUCUCCAAUCAAGGGAUCUGUAAGAACUGGUUUGUAUGAAUGGGAUAAUGAUUUUGAAGAUAUCAGAUCAGAAGACUGUAUUUUAAGUUUGGAUAGUGAUCCCCUUUUGGAGAUGAAGGAUGACGAUUUUAAAAAUCGAUUGGAAAAUCUAAAUGAAGCCAUUGAGGAAGAUAUUGUACAAAGUGUUCUUAGGCCAACCAACUGUAGGACGUACUGUAGGGCCAAUAAAGCGAAAUCCUCCCAAGGAGCGUCAAAUUUUGAUAAGCUGAUGGAUGGCACCAGUCAGGCCUUAGCCAAAGCAAACAGUGAAUCGAGUAAAGAUGGCCUGAAUCAGGCAAAGAAAGGCGGUGUAAGUUGUGGGACCAGUUUUAGAGGGACAGUUGGACGGACUAGAGAUUACACAGUUUUACAUCCAUCUUGCUUGUCAGUUUGUAAUGUUACCAUACAGGAUACUAUGGAACGCAGCAUGGAUGAGUUCACUGCAUCCACUCCUGCAGAUUUGGGAGAAGCUGGUCGUCUCAGAAAAAAGGCAGACAUUGCAACUUCUAAGACCACUACUCGAUUUCGACCUAGUAAUACCAAAUCCAAAAAGGAUGUUAAACUUGAAUUUUUUGGUUUUGAAGAUCAUGAGACAGGAGGUGAUGAAGGGGGUUCUGGAAGUUCUAAUUACAAAAUUAAGUAUUUUGGCUUUGAUGAUCUCAGUGAAAGCGAUGAUGAUGAAGAUGAUGACUGUCAAGUGGAAAGAAAGACAAGCAAAAAAAGAACUAAAACAGCUCCAUCACCCUCCUUGCAGCCUCCCCCAGAAAGCAAUGAUAAUUCCCAGGACAGUCAGUCUGGUACUAACAAUGCAGAAAACUUGGAUUUUACAGAGGACUUGCCUGGUGUGCCUGAAAGUGUGAAGAAACCCAUAAAUAAACAAGGAGAUAAAUCAAAGGAAAAUACCAGAAAGAUUUUUAGUGGCCCCAAACGGGUAAGUAAAGCACUAUCAGUGAUUUUUAUUAUUUAUUUGUUAUUGGAGGGCUCAACUCUUUAUUUUUUAUUUGAAAGUUACUAAUAAACAUAGCAACUGUCUUUCAAAGGAUAUAUGUAAGUCCUUUUUUCAGAUGUAACCCUUUUUUUAAAAAUUGUAAAAUAUACAUAUUUUUUGAACCAUUCUCAAGUGUAUAAAUCAGUGGCAUUACUUUCACGGUGUUAUGUAACCAUCACAAUUAUCUAUACCCAAAACCUUUUUAUCAUAUCCAGCACAAACUCUGUACCCAUUAACCAAUAACUUCCUCCCCCACCCCAUGCCUAGUCAAUACUAUUCCACUCUGCUCUAGGAAUAUGCUUUAUCUAAGUAUCUUAUAUAAAUAGAAUCAUACAAUAUUUAUCAUAAACCAGAUACAAAAGGACAAACAUUGUAUGAAUCUGGUUUAUUUCACUAAGCCUAAUUUGUC
rnacentral:lncRNA from 1 species